UACAGAGGUCUCAAGCGUUGUUCGGAUUCAUUGGGCGUAAAGGGCGCGUAGGCGGUGGGGUAAGUCUGGUGUGAAAUCUCGGAGCUCAACUUCGAAAUUGCACUGGAUACUGCUCUGCUAGAGGGUUGGAGAGGAGAUCGGAAUUCACGGUGUAGCAGUGAAAUGCGUAGAUAUCGUGAGGAAGACCAGUGGCGAAGGCGGAUCUCUGGACAGCUCCUGACGCUGAGGCGCGAAGGCUAGGGGAGCAAACGGG
rnacentral:rRNA from 1 species